rnacentral:rRNA from 1 species
GACGAACGCUGGCGGCGUGCCUAAUACAUGCAAGUUGAGCGAUGAAGCUUGGUGCUUGCACCAAUUUGAAGAGCAGCGAACGGGUGAGUAACGCGUGGGGAAUCUGCCUUUGAGCGGGGGACAACAUUUGGAAACGAAUGCUAAUACCGCAUAACAACUUUAAACAUAAGUUUUAAGUUUGAAAGAUGCAAUUGCAUCACUCAAAGAUGAUCCCGCGUUGUAUUAGCUAGUUGUUGAGGUAAAGGCUCACCAAGGCGAUGAUACAUAGCCGACCUGGGAGGGUGAUCGGGCAAAAUGGGAAUUAGACAACGGCCAAACUCCCAAGGGAAGGAGCAGGAGGGAAACUUUGGCAAUGGGGGGAAGUCUGGCCGAAGAAAGCCGCGGGAGUGAAGAAGGUUUUUGGAUUGUAAAACUCUGUUGGUAGAGAAGGAAGGUGGGGAGAGUGGAAAGGUCAACAAGUGAAGGUAAAUAACCAGAAAGGGACGGCUAACUACGUG